rnacentral:rRNA from 1 species
UACGUAGGGCGCAAGCGUUUAUCCGGAAUUAUUGGGCGUAAAGAGCUCGUAGGCGGUUUGGCAAGUCGGGUGUGAAAUCUCCCGGCUCAACUGGGAGAGGUCAUUCAAUACUACCGUGCUUGAGAGCAGAAGAGGAAGAUGGAAUUCCCGGUGUAGUGGUGAAAUGCGUAGAUAUCGGGAGGAACACCAGUGGCGAAGGCGAUCUUCUGGUCUGUUUCUGACACUCAUACGCGACAGCUAGGGUAGUAAACGGG